UAGUGCUGGCUAACCGUGGGAG
rnacentral:piRNA from 1 species